GAUUGAACGCUGGCGGCAUGCUUUACCCAUGCAAGUCGAACGGUAACAGGCCUUCGGGUGCUGACGAGUGGCGAACGGGUGAGUAAUGCAUCGGAACGUACCCAGAGGUGGGGGAUAACGCAGCGAAAGCUGUGCUAAUACCGCAUGUGAUCUGAGGAUGAAAGCGGGGGACCGAGCAGCAAUGUUUGGCCUCGCGCCUUUGGAGCGGCCGAUGUCGGAUUAGCUAGUUGGUGGGGUAAAGGCCUACCAAGGCGACGAUCCGUAGCUGGUCUGAGAGGACGACCAGCCACACUGGGACUGAGACACGGCCCAGACUCCUACGGGAGGCAGCAGUGGGGAAUUUUGGACAAUGGGCGCAAGCCUGAUCCAGCAAUGCCGCGUGCGGGAAGAAGGCCUUCGGGUUGUAAACCGCUUUUGGCAGGAACGAAACGGUGUCCGCUAAUACCGGGCGCUAAUGACGGUACCUGCAGAAUAAGCACCGGCUAACUACGUG
rnacentral:rRNA from 1 species